AGCACGCCGCGUGAGUGAUGAAGGUCUUCGGAUCGUAAAACUCUGUUGUUAGGGAAGAACAAGUACCGUUCGAAUAGGUCGGUACCUUGACGGUACCUAACCAGAAAGCCCCGGCUAAUUACGUGCCAGCAGCCGCGGUAUA
rnacentral:rRNA from 1 species